AUUGAACGCUGGCGGCAGGCCUAACACAUGCAAGUCGAACGAGUGGGGGACGGGUGAGUAAUGUCUGGGAAACUGCCUGAUGGGGGGGGAUAACUUGUGGAAGCGGUCUAAUAUACCGUAUACCAUCAGAUGCGCCCAGGUGGGAUUAGCUUGUUGGGGGGGUAACGGCUCACCAAGGCGACGAUCCCUAGCUGGUCUGAGAGGAUGACCAGCCACACGGGAACUGAGACACGGUCCAGACUCCUACGGGAGGCAGCAGGGGGGAAUAUUGCACAAUGGGCGCAAGCCUUAUGCAGCCAUGGCGCGUGGAUGAAGGAGGCCUUCGGGUUUUAAAAGACUUUCAGCGGGGAGGCGUUACCCGCAGAAGAAGCACCGGCUAACUCCCUGCCAGCCGCCGCGGUAAUAC
rnacentral:rRNA from 1 species